UACGUAGGGGGCAAGCGUUGUCCGGAAUCAUUGGGCGUAAAGAGCGUGUAGGCGGUCCGGUAAGUCGGCUGUGAAAGUCCAGGGCUCAACCCUGGGAUGCCGGUCGAUACUGCCGGACUAGAGUUCGGAAGAGGCGAGUGGAAUUCCCGGUGUAGCGGUGAAAUGCGCAGAUAUCGGGAGGAACACCUAUGGCGAAGGCAGCUCGCUGGGACGUUUACCGACGCUGAGACGCGAAAGCGUGGGGGAGCAAACAGG
rnacentral:rRNA from 1 species